GUGGGGUACCCUCUAGAUUAGGACCCUUCGAUAAUUAAGUUAACCAGGGCCUUGUGAAUCAACGGUAGAAAUGGAAAGACAAGAAGAUAAGAGAGAAGAUUUUGGGAGAACAAAGUGAAGACUCUUAUUUUCUUUAGUGAGGGAAGUUGAAAGGAUUCAGCAGAGUCUCAAUACUGUGAGUUUUGACUUACCUUACGGAGGACACCC
rnacentral:lncRNA from 1 species